CUCUUUAUUCAGAUUAUGGCGAAAUUUGAAAUGCAACCACUUUACGCGUGCCUAUUCGAUUACAUACGCCAGAAUACGAAUCGCACACGACAAAUCGUAGCGCGUAAACAAAGCUUAAAAAAGUGCGAGAAUGACGUCUAAAUUUCUAGGUCUUCAAUAAUUCAUUUCGGCUGUCAUCCUGCCAGCUGAAAGUCUAUGUUCUUGCCAAAACGGUAGAACUCUGUCCGAACUCUGUAAUUUGGCUUCCCAUAAUUAUUUUACAAUGUUCUGUUGAAUAACGUAAAUAACGAAUUUCAGAUUUGAUUUCCACUACCACUACCUCACACGGGCUUGGUAGUUACGCAUCUGGUUGAUUAAUUGAAAUAAUCAGACCCAUCUGAUUGGUUAAUGAUGCCUUAAAGGUAGUGAUAGCGGUAGUGGAAGUCAAACCUGUAUCUCUCUAAUUUCAAAUAUCUUAAAUAUUAUUCAUCUGUUCCUUUUUGAAUGCACUUCUCAACUCAUUGUAAUCCUGAAAUCCAGUUUGUUUCCCAACGACUUCCAGCCACUGUGCCUGAAUAAUUUCUUUAGUUUUGUCAUCCAUCAACUCUCGUCCUUCCGUUGCAGAUCCCGUGACAACCUUACUGGCUACAACAUCAUCAGGUAUCCCACAACUUUUAUUCCGACAACGUGCGAGACGAACAUUUGAAAACUUUCUCUCAUUUUUCUUCAUAAAUUCAAAGGAGCUCAUGUUCACAGCCUUCUUAAUCCUUUCCUCAUCUUGAAUUCCUAUGAAUGCUGCAACCAUCCUAACUACACUUUCUAAAUCGUCUUUCAUAUCCUCAAAGAACAGAAAUAAAACAUUCGAGUCAUUCCUGUGUUCCCACCAGCUGAGCAAGUGGACAAAAAAGGACGCAAAUAUCAUCUUCUUUUUUGGUAUUCCAAGAGCAAGUAGAUAAUCCUUUACAAAUUCGUCAAGUAAAACUUUCCCUGGUUGAAAUAACCAACCCUUGAAGAAGUUGAAGUGACUGUAGAAUGCAGCACAUGGUUCACGGUAAAUAACAAUGUAUUUUGAUGCACCCUUGGGACACGAAGGAUACCAUGCAUGAGUCUUGUAACAUCUAACAACGAG